CCUCGGGGCGGGGGCGGGGCCUGGCGCGUCCGCCGAGCGCGGGGGUUUGUUUAUUUUCCCGGUUGGUAGCGGCGCUGGCGCUGGUUAGAGGUUCGCCGGUGACGUGAGCGCCCGAGUUGGGGGAGAGGACCAGAACCACCUGCUGGAGAAAGGGAGCUACGGGGGCCGGGCAGGGUCCAAACGCCUCACGUGGGCGGCGGCGCCACGGUCUUCGGGGUCACAGGGAAGAGAAGGGCUCUCCUCAAGCGGGUGGAAGGAGGGAGGCCUCCCGAGGGAAUGAGACUCCAGGCCACUCCCCCGCAGCAAGGCAGGAUCACCUGCGUCGCGGAGAGCAGUUAGAGGUCCCUGGAGUGGAAAAGGGCAGUGGGACCUGGUAGCUUGGGUUCCCUGCAACUUGGGGUUCGACCUCCAGGCAAUGAAGUAGGGAUGGUCCUGCAAGUCAAGAUUCCAGUAGCAAGAGUGCAUCAGAUCUCUGUAAGGAAAAUAACUAACAUUGCUCAGUUCCCUGUAGAGUUGCAGGGCGCUUUGACGUUAUCUCCCUUGGUUCUCCAUCAGGUCGUAGUGGACUAAUUUUACAGGCGAAGUUAAGUGACUUACCCAAAACCUCACAGCUAAUAAACGGCAGAGCCGGCACCCAGCUGUACUGGCUUCCAGCGCAUCCCAUUAUCUCCAUAAAUCCCCCUGAUUCAACUAAUAUUAGACGCCCCACAGGUAAGAUGCUUCAGAGUUAGAGGGGAGUUGAAGAUACCUUUGCCUUCAAAGAAGUAAGGAAUGAAACAAAGAUAAAACAGACAAUAAAAGACAAACCAUGAUAGGUGCCACGUGAAAAGUGGCAGAGUACUGCCGGGAAUCAAAGAACCGUGUAUAUCUGUCUUGGGGAUAAGGAAAGAAACGCAGCAUGAAGGAGUAGGCAUUUGGGAUUGACCUUGAAGGAGACAGGGAGAGUUUUACAGCAAGAAGGGAUAGCAUGAGAAUAUAUAUGAAGGCGAAUCAGUGAAAGUUGUGUUGGGGAAAGAGCAAAGACUCCAGGUAUGUUGAGAGGUAGAAAAGACAAAGGAGUAUGGGGCCUAAGAUACCAAAUGGAUGAAUUUAUAUUUAAUUCAGUAUUUUGAGUUUUUAUGGUUCAGAAGUUUGGGGGAAGAAAAGGAAGGUUUUUUUUUUCUUUAUGCUAGUGAUUUAUCUGUGAAGGGAAGCAGAAAUCAGAGGUGGAAAAACUGACAGAUCUACUGUAGGCCAGGUAAAAGGUAAUGAUGAGUCUGACCUAAAGGGACAGCCAGGGGAAUUUAAAGAGCAUAGUUGAGAGAUGAUGUGCAUGCAGAAUCUAUAGAAUUUGCUAACUGAUUGAUUAAUUGUGGGUAGGAAGAGAGAAAUCAAAGAAAGUGGAGGUUUUGAGUUUCUAGAUAAUUGCAAGAGAGAAAAGAGACAAUUACAAAGGAAAGGAGAAGGAGCUACUUCUUGAGAGAAGAUCAGUUUAGAUUUAGACAUUUUAAGAAUUCAAAGGGUUGUCAAGACAGCCAGACGGACAUGGACACUAAUAAGUUAGAAAUAAAGGUUUUGUAAUAUGGGAAAGAGGACUGAGCUAGAAAAUAGACUCAUAGAUAAUCAGCCUAGGAGUGAUAUUGCUGUGAGAUAAAAGAAGAAAACAAAGUCAGAAUCUUGGAAAACACCCUCUUCAGAGUCUCGCUGCUCAAAACGUGGUCAGUGGCCCAGCAGCACUGACAUGAGGACCUUAGUUGGAAACUCAGAAUCUCAGGCUCCACCCCAGACCUGCUGAACCAGCAUCUUCAACUUAACAAGAACCCGAAGAGAUUUGUGCCACAUCAAAAAGUUUGAGAAGCUCUGAUCUAGCUGGACCCUGGACACGGUGACUCUGAUUCAAUUAUGCAGAUGACCACAAGCCUCUGGGGUUGGCAGAGCCACAAGAAAGAAGGUGCCUGGAUGAAGGAGAGCUACCCACUGACCUGGACACCCAAUUAUUCAUCUGUCUUAGAGCUAUUGGAAUCCUGGAUCAUUGUGGGAAAUGAAAAAUACUUCGAUGGAAUCAGCAGCCAUUGAUCCAAUGCCAACUCCAAGACUGGAACGUCGCAAUGAUAGUUCCAAGGCGGAAAUUUGACGUAAUUCUUUUCGACACAGUUUUACAGGUCUGGAUGCCCAUUUUAAUUCUUCUGAAAGCAUGCCUCCUUCUGGCUUCAGGACUCCAUCUCCAGCCUUAUGAUCUAAAAAUAAUCCCCAAACCAAAAAAUUAGAUAUUAUUUCCUCAAAAUUAGGUGUUUUAAUCAAAACAUCUUAACAUAAAUACAUUAUUAUCACCCAAUAUGCAUAAUGUUGUUCAACUUUUUUGUUAAAUGACUUAUUUUAGAUGAACAGAUGUGUGAAUAUGAAUAUUUUUAUUUCA
rnacentral:lncRNA from 1 species